ACAUGGCCGUAAAAUAAUUUGUCUUCGCAAUGAUAAAAUCAACUUUGUUCAUGUUGCUUCUCCAUUUUUGUAGAACCCGGGUACAUGCAUAUCAUUUCUCUUUGCCUUUUUGUCCCCUUCCUUUUCCAUUCAUUUAUUGUUGAUGACAUUGUGGAAACUAUGAAUUGUUCGACUGUUAUAUAUACACUGAAUGCUGAUAUUUGGUUUUCAGCUCCAAAGCCUCACAGGUCACGGGUUACUCAAGCUUCUCAUUGGAUCAUCAUGUUGAUUCUUCCUGUUGAAUCCUCUCAUAGCUUUACACAACUAGAACUUCAUCAGGAGACCUGAGAAAGGAAGCGUGAUGCACGUCCAAAUCAGUUUUUGUCCAGAUGUUCAUGUGUUUACUAAGGGUUGCAGCUAUGAUACCAAGUCCAUUUCAUGCUUUAAGUUGAUUAUCAGAUUGUUAAAACAGUUUACGACAAAAUUUAUGCUUAACUACAUCUAGGUCUUAAUGGGUGGGGAACACGCCCAUUUCCAUUGCAGCAUAAUUAUCCAUGUCAGGGAUUGAUUUUUUGCUGAUGAGUGAGGAGUCCAUUAUAUUCUAAUAUGUGCACGGGCACAAGUAAGAUUGUAGAUUACAUGGGCCCGCACAAAUUUAAUAUGUCGCUUGCGAGGCCCAGGAAUAAUUAUUUAAAUAAAAUAAGGUCGGGGGCUAAUAAGAAGUAGGGGCAUGAAUAAAAAUGCAAGCGCAAUGAAAGUGUCAGGUUGGUGAAGAUCGAUUAAUUAUCACAUGUAUCAUCGGAUCUGUUCGCCUUCUUGUUGCGGUGUAUAUGCCUAGGACCUUCAAAAAGUAUUAUGCUGUGUAUUAUAAGGUCAAGGAUGUAUAAAAUGAAUUUAUAUUAUAUGAGCUCUUUGUGCUUUUUUUCAGACAAUUUUAUGUCGGUUUCUAUAAAUGAAUUACCAAGAGGUGCAGUUGAGA